rnacentral:lncRNA from 1 species
CUGUUACGGGAUGUUGUAUAGGCUGUGUUACCGCCUGGUUAAGUGCUGUUUUAUAGAAUGUGUUACCGCCUGGUUAAGUGCUGUUUUAUAGGCUGUGUACCGCCUGGUUAAGGGCUGUUUAACAGGCUGUGUUACCGCCUGGUUAAGGGCUGUUUUACAGGCUGUGUUACCGCCUGGUUACGGGAUGUUUUACAGGCUGUGUUACCGCCUGUUACGGGAUGUUUUACAGGCUGUGUUACCGCCUGUUACGGGAUGUUUUAUAGGCUGUGUUACCGACUGGUUACGGGAUGUUUUACAGAAUGUGUUACCGCCUGGUUAAGUGCUGUUUUAUAGGCUGUGUUACCGCCUGGUUACCGGUAGUUGUAUAGGCUGUGCUACCGCCUGGUUAAGUGCUGUUUUAUAGAAUGUGUUACCGCCUGGUUAAGUGCUGUUUUAUAUGCUGUGUUACCGCCUGGUUAAGGGCUGUUUUACAGGCUGUGUUACCGCCUGGUUACGGGAUGUUUUACAGGCUGUGUUACCGCCUGUUACGGGAUGUUUUAUAGGCUGUGUUACCGACUGGUUAAGGGCUGUUUUAUAGGCUGCGUUACCACCUGGUUAAGGGCUGUUUUGUCUCCAUCCCUAUGCUCAGUGGGUGCGUUCCAGUUGGCACCCUAUUCCAAAAGUAGUGCACUAUUUUUGACGAGGGCCCGUAGGGUAUUGGAGUGGGAUUCAUUGAAGCAAUAAGAGACAUGGGGGAAUACACCAUCAAAUCAGUCUAAAUGACAGGAUGAAGAGUUUUAAAAACAGCAAAGAGAUUAAAAAAAUACAUUUAAAGAAUUAGAAGUGUUUAGUGGAGGAAAUUCACUUUUUAUAACACUGAAAAUAACAAGAAUAUCACCGGUUCUCUUUCAAUUCUCCCCAGAAUCUCUUCCAAACACCAUAAGAAUCUCACUCCAAUCCUCCUCUGACCUCUCUCUGACCUCUCUCUGCCUUCCUCUGACCUCUCUCUGACCUCUCUCUGCCUUCCUCUGACCUCUCUCUGACCUCUCUCUGACCUCUCUCUGACCUCUCUCUGCCUUCCUCUGACCUCUCUCUGACCUCUCUCUGACCUCUCUCUGCCUCUCUCUGACCUCUCUCUGCCUUCCUCUGACCUCUCUCUGACCUCUCUCUGCCUUCCUCUGACCUCUCUCUGACCUCUCUCUGCCUUCCUCUGACCUCUCUCUGACCUCUCUCUGCCUUCCUCUGACCUCUCUCUGACCUCUCUCUGACCUCUCUCUGCCUUCCUCUGACCUCUCUCUGACCUCUCUCUGACCUCUCUCUGCCUCCCUCACGUCUCUCCUCUGACCUCUCCUCUGACCUCUCUCUGCCUUCCUCUGACCUCUCUCUGACCUCUCUCUGCCUUCCUCUGACCUCUCUCUGCCUUCCUCUGACCUCUUUCUGACCUCUCUCUGCCUUCCUGUGACCUCUCUGCCUUCCUCUGACCUCUCUCUGCCUUCCUCUGACCUCUCUCUGCCUUCCUCUGACCUCUCUCUGACCUCCUCUGCCUUCCUCUGACCUCUCCCUGAC